UAAAACAAAUCUCCGGAUGGAAAUCCAGUGGUCGAUGGGUGUCUAUCCGAUUGGCCCCUUGGGGAAUCAAUCGGUCACCUGAAAUAACAGGCUUCCGCUGGUUCGCGGACUCGUGCAGUAAAGAUACAAAUAUGAGUGUGCGCCUGGCGCCUUCGGAUAUCACACUUCACGAUAUGCGGCUUGGCGAGAAGCCACGUUUUGGCUUAACAGCCAAAAUGCGUCCAUGGCGCAUAUUUUGUAA
rnacentral:misc_RNA from 1 species